rnacentral:precursor_RNA from 1 species
UCAACUUAUCAAUCUUUAUAUUUUGUAAGUAUAUAUUUGUGCAGAAUUUCCAAGAAGAAAGAAGAAGAAGAUUGUGCUGUCUUGUGCUGCAUAUUUCUUGCCAAAGCCAUUGUAAGCGUCCAACUUCGGUGUUUUGAAACCUUGUAAUUUCUAUGUAAUGAGCGCGAUGAAGAAAAUUAUUUGUCAAAUGGUAUAUGUGACAUGAGAUUUGUAGCAUCAGACUGUUACGAUCUUAAGAGUUAAGGGUUGCUGCUCGUUUGAACAUAGUUGAAUUAAUUGUUGUGAUGGGCUGUAUUGUUAUAAAAUUUGCUAAUUUAGUAGAUUCCCUUGGCAGGCCUGCUGAACAUAGUAAAGGGCUUGCCUGCAAUCCACCAGUCCAUGAAUAGUAGUUCUUCUGUGAGAUUCUUGGCAGACAUUGCAUGUAAACUCACAUGUUAAGGUGUACAAAUUUAUAGGCCCUAUAGUUUGAACAUUUUUCUGCUUAGCAUGAAAGUUAUUGAGAAAAUCCAAAAUAAUUUUCUAUUUUUUUUGUGUGGAAAUCGAUGACUAAAGUUUAUACGAAAGUACGAUGUUGCUAAUCUGAUUCCAUACAUCCCCAUGAGUUGCAUGCCGCUGUGAUUGCAGAGCCUAGAAAGUGGAUAAUAGGGUUGGCUUUGAAGGUUGCAUAGAUCUCAGCUGAGAUGUGCUGCAUUGGCCAGGUUCAAAGUUUUGUGUCAAUCUCAAUUGAAUACUGCUGCUUAAUCCUUGUAAAUGAACUUUAUUGUAAAAUGAACUACUUUCCUUUUACGUUCUUCAAAAUAUGGUACCUCUUUUUAGAAGAACGUUAAUUGUACCGUAUUUUGAACAUAUGAAAUUACUGUUUUGACACAAAACAAAGGGAGCAAUAAAUAAAAAGAACUGUAGUGUUUAAGCAAAUCUGUUUCUCGAGAAGCUCAAUAAACUCAUUUAUUUCUGGCCCCAAUAAUGCAUGAUAAAUCCAAUACGUUUCAAACACCACAUCCCUGAAUUUUGGGAAUAAGAUUCUUACCAUUUCAAAUAAAAUGGGAAGUGAGAUUUUAUUUUAUUACAUUUAAUGGUAUGUAUAAUGCCAGGUAAUAUACAAAUUGGGACAAUUUUGUGGCUCCGGACUUCUUGACCUACGACCGUACGCCAAUUCUUGAAGACUUGCUUGUUGGUAUCUAUUUCCUGCAAAAUGGCAUAUUGAGAACGUUACAAGGAAGCCAAUUUUCAUUGCUCUCUGAACAACGAUUUUCCAGAUUCGUUCUUCCCGGACAACUAAUGGAGCCUCAAAAAUCAAACAAGGGAAAGAAACAGAUCUAGAAAGAACCUGUCGUUUAACGUUCUCCGGCCGGUAGGUAGCUAGCAGUUACUGUCAUCCCGUAUAGAAACAUGAUUGAGUGCAGCGCUAAUGAAACUGUCCCAUAAACGACAAUAGGAUUGAUAGGACUCAAUUUUCAUCAACGCUGCACUCAAUGAUGUUUCUCAAACUGGGGAGUCUCCCAUAUAUGCUUACUCCAGCUGCAUUUAGAUCCAAGCAUCUUCUUGGCGCAUUAUAUGUGUAAAUAUUAGCCGAUAGAUCGAAUGUAUAUAUAGUACUACUACGCGGAGUUGUAUUGAUUUGUACUACCAAUUUUACAAUUUGCCAGAUCAUUCAGAGAUUGUGCUGCUGUCCACAAAGGCUGCUGGACCAAAUUAAUAUUAAAAUGCUUUAUGCAGAUGAGAUUUGUACUGGUUAAUUGUACUGGAAUAUAUAUAUUGUACUACAUUUCCUCCCAAACCCCCCAACCAUCUCUUUCUUUUCUGGUAUACCAAAAUAUUUGU